CCUACGGGAGGCUGCAGUAGGAAUCUUCCACAAUGGGCGAAAGCCUGAUGGAGCAACGCCGCGUGUGUGAUGAAGGCUUUCGGGUCGUAAAGCACUGUUGUAUGGGAAGAACAGCUAGAAUAGGAAAUGAUUUUAGUUUGACGGUACCAUACCAGAAAGGGACGGCUAAAUACGUGCCAGCAGCCGCGGUAAUACGUAUGUCCCGAGCGUUAUCCGGAUUUAUUGGGCGUAAAGCGAGCGCAGACGGUUUAUUAAGUCUGAUGUGAAAGCCCGGAGCUCAACUCCGGAAUGGCAUUGGAAACUGGUUAACUUGAGUGCAGUAGAGGUAAGUGGAACUCCAUGUGUAGCGGUGGAAUGCGUAGAUAUAUGGAAGAACACCAGUGGCGAAGGCGGCUUACUGGACUGCAACUGACGUUGAGGCUCGAAAGUGUGGGUAGCAAACAGGAUUAGAUACCCUGGUAGUCCACACCGUAAACGAUGAACACUAGGUGUUAGGAGGUUUCCGCCUCUUAGUGCCGAAGCUAACGCAUUAAGUGUUCCGCCUGGGGAGUACGACCGCAAGGUUGAAACUCAAAGGAAUUGACGGGGACCCGCACAAGCGGUGGAGCAUGUGGUUUAAUUCGAAGCAACGCGAAGAACCUUACCAGGUCUUGACAUCCUUUGAAGCUUUUAGAGAUAGAAGUGUUCUCUUCGGAGACAAAGUGACAGGUGGUGCAUGGUCGUCGUCAGCUCGUGUCGUGAGAUGUUGGGUUAAGUCCCGCAACGAGCGCAACCCUUAUUGUUAGUUGCCAGCAUUCAGAUGGGCACUCUAGCGAGACUGCCGGUGACAAACCGGAGGAAGGCGGGGACGACGUCAGAUCAUCAUGCCCCUUAUGACCUGGGCUACACACGUGCUACAAUGGCGUAUACAACGAGUUGCCAACCCGCGAGGGUGAGCUAAUCUCUUAAAGUACGUCUCAGUUCGGAUUGUAGUCUGCAACUCGACUACAUGAAGUCGGAAUCGCUAGUAAUCGCGGAUCAGCACGCCGCGGUGAAUACGUUCCCGGGUCUUGUACACACCGCCCGUCACACCAUGGGAGUUUGUAAUGCCCAAAGCCGGUGGCCUA
rnacentral:rRNA from 1 species